rnacentral:rRNA from 1 species
AGAACUUAGCAGAGAUGCUUUGGUGCCUUCGGGAACUCUGAGACAGGUGCUGCAUGGCUGUCGUCAGCUCGUGUUGUGAAAUGUUGGGUUAAGUCCCGCAACGAGCGCAACCCUUAUCCUUUGUUGCCAGCGGUCCGGCCGGGAACUCAAAGGAGACUGCCAGUGAUAAACUGGAGGAAGGUGGGGAUGACGUCAAGUCAUCAUGGCCCUUACGAGUAGGGCUACACACGUGCUACAAUGGCGCAUACAAAGAGAAGCGACCUCGCGAGAGCAAGCGGACCUCAUAAAAGUGCGUCGUAGUCCGGAUUGGAGUCUGCAACUCGACUCCAUGAAGUCGGAAUCGCUAGUAAUCGUGGAUCAGAAUGCCACGGUGAAUACGUUCCCGGGCCUUGUACACACCGCCCGUCACACCAUGGGAGUGGGUUGCAAAAGAAGUAGGUAGCUUAACCUUCGGGAGGGCGCUUACCACUUUGUGAUUCAUGACUGGGGUGAAGUCGUAACAAGGUAAGCGUAGUGCU